AUGAGACGGCUUCACCACAAUCAUAAUUUGCCCUGGUUAUUAGUGGGUGACCUGAAUGAGAUCCAAUUUCUACACGAGAAGGAAGGAGGGAAUCUGAGACCAAUACAGUAUAUGAACGCUUUCCAAGAUGCAAUCGAGGAUUGUGCUCUCCAUGAUCUUGGCUUUAUUGGAGACAAAUUCACAUGGUACAGAGGAAGGAUUAGGGAAAGGUUGGACCGGGCUUUAGUCAAUGAUGCCUGGUCAUCCCUCUUCCCCCAAGCAGCUCUUCAAAACCUAGAGUACAACCAUUCUGAUCACAGACCGAUUCUAGUGGAUACAGAUUUCUAUGUUGAUUCAGGGAACACACCUAAUACACAGCCUAAAAGAUUUGAAUCGAGGUGGUUCCGAGAGGCUGACUUUGGUGCUAUAGUGGAAAAAGCAUGGAUUGAUACUGGGGCUGACCCAGAGGUAAAUAAUAUAAGUGAGCGGUUGAAUAAGAUGCAUUCCCAUUUCCAUGACUGGGACCAGCGUGUUCUGAAGAAGCCGAAAAAACGGCUUCGCAAUGCACAGAAGGAACUCGAGCAAGUUAUGAAAGGACCAAUGAAUAAUGACAAUGAGGAGAAAAGAAAAGAACUUUCUGAACUGAUUGAAUAUCUUCUGGAAUUAGAGGAAAUUCAAGUCAUGCAAAGAUCAAGAGUAAACUAG
rnacentral:rRNA from 1 species